rnacentral:rRNA from 1 species
UACAGGGGGUGCAAACGUUGCUCGGAAUUAUUGGGCGUAAAGCGCGCGUAGGCGGCUACCUAAGUCGGAUGUGAAAGCCCCUGGCUUAACUGGGGAAGUCCACCCGAAACUGAGUAGCUAGAGUGCGAAAGAGGGUCGCGGAAUUCCCGGUGUAGAGGUGAAAUUCGUAGAUAUCGGGAGGAACACCGGUGGCGAAGGCGGCGACCUGGGUCGACACUGACGCUGAGGCGCGAAAGCGUGGGGAGCAAACAGG